CGAGCGGAAGGCCCUUCGGGGUACUCGAGCGGCGAACGGGUGAGUAACACGUGAGCAACCUGCCCCUGACUCUGGGAUAAGCCCGGGAAACUGGGUCUAAUACCGGAUAUGACCGCCCCUGGCAUCGGGUGGUGGUGGAAAGUUUUUUCGGUUGGGGAUGGGCUCGCGGCCUAUCAGCUUGUUGGUGGGGUAGUGGCCUACCAAGGCGACAACGGGUAGCCGGCCUGAGAGGGCGACCGGCCACACUGGGACUGAGACACGGCCCAAACUCCUACGGGAGGCAGCAGUGGGGAAUAUUGCGCAAUGGGCGGAAGCCUGACGCAGCGACGCCGCGUGGGGGAUGACGGCCUUCGGGUUGUAAACCUCUUUCAGCAGGGACAAAGUUGACGUGUACCUGCAAAAAAAGCGCCGGCUAACUACGUGCCAGCAGCCGCGGUAAUACGUAGGGCGCAAGCGUUGUCCGGAAUUAUU
rnacentral:rRNA from 1 species